UACAGAGGAGCCAAGCGUUGUCCGGAUUGACUGGGCGUAAAGCGCACGCAGGCGGACGCGCGCGUGGGGUGUGAAAUCUGGCCGCUUAACGGCCAGGCGCCAUCCCAUACGGCGCGUCUGGAGUGAUGCAGAGGUCGAUGGAAUUGCCGGUGUAGUGGUGAAAUGCGUAGAGAUCGGCAGGAACACCCAGGGGGAAACCAGUCGACUGGGCAGCACCUGACGCUGAGGUGCGAGAGCGUGGGGAGCGAACCGG
rnacentral:rRNA from 1 species